rnacentral:rRNA from 1 species
AUGAACGCUGGCGGCGUGCCUAAUACAUGCAAGUCGAGCGAACAGACGAGGAGCUUGCUCCUCUGACGUUAGCGGCGGACGGGUGAGUAACACGUGGAUAACCUACCUAUAAGACUGGGAUAACUUCGGGAAACCGGAGCUAAUACCGGAUAAUAUAUUGAACCGCAUGGUUCAAUAGUGAAAGACGGUUUUGCUGUCACUUAUAGAUGGAUCCGCACCGCAUUAGCUAGUUGGUAAGGUAACGGCUUACCAAGGCGACGAUGCGUAGCCGACCUGAGAGGGGGAUCGGCCACACUGGAACUGAGACACGGUCCAGACUCCUACGGGAGGCAGCAGUAGGGAAUCUUCCGCAAUGGGCGAAAGCCUGACGGAGCAACGCCGCGUGAGUGAUGAAGGUCUUCGGAUCGUAAAACUCUGUUAUUAGGGAAGAACAAAUGUGUAAGUAACUAUGCACGUCUUGACGGUACCUAAUCAGAAAGCCACGGCUAACUACGUG